rnacentral:rRNA from 1 species
UGCAGUCGAACGGAGAUGUUAGUAAUAAUAUCUUAGUGGCGGACGGGUGAGUAACGCGUGGGCAACUUGCCUCGGACUGGGGGAUAACACAGGGAAACUUGUGCUAAUACCGCAUAACAUCGAGAGGGGACAUCCUCUUUCGAUCAAAGGAGUAAUCCGGUUUGAGAUGGGCCCGCGUCCGAUUAGCUAGUUGGCGGUGUAAUGGACCACCAAGGCGACGAUCGGUAGCCGAACUGAGAGGUUGAUCGGCCACAUUGGGACUGAGACACGGCCCAGACUCCUACGGGAGGCAGCAGUGGGGAAUAUUGCACAAUGGGGGAAACCCUGAUGCAGCAACGCCGCGUGAAGGAUGAAGGUUUUCGGAUUGUAAACUUCUUUGAUUGGGGACGAAUAAUGACGGUACCCAAAAAACAAGCCACGGCUAACUACGUGCCAGCAGCCGCGGUAAUACGUAGGUGGCAAGCGUUGUCCGGAGUUACUGGGUGUAAAGGGCGUGUAGGCGGGAAGAUAAGUCAGAUGUGAAAUUCCAUGGCUCAACUGUGGCGCUGCAUCUGAAACUAUUUUUCUUGAGUGAUGGAGAGGAAAGCGGAAUUCCUAGUGUAGCGGUGAAAUGCGUAGAUAAUAGGAGGAACACCAGUGGCGAAGGCGGCUUUCUGGACAUUAACUGACGCUGAGGCGCGAAAGCGUUGGGAGCAAACAGGAUUAGAUACCCUG